GAAAGGGUUGCUCAACUCUUCCGAUGUCAAUCAAACAUAUACUUAGUUGCUUAUUUAAUUGAAAUCUGCUGCUCCUUGAUAAAGACUAUGAAAGUAACAACAAAAUCACUUCAGAAACUGUGGAUAAAAUGGUUUCUGAUUCCAAAUGCUCUGCCCCUAUCCACCAGUGGUAUAAUUCCUUUGUAGAAGGAUACCAAGUCAGUCAGACAUGAUUUGCCCAUAGUGGAGCCAUGUUGCCAGUCACCAGUCACCUCUCUGUUUUCCAUGUGCCUUAGCACUUUCUAGGAGGAUCAGCCCGGGAAGAGAGGUGAAAUUGAGUGGCCUGUAGUUUUCUGGGAUUCCUACUUUCUCUUUUUAAGAAUGGAGUUUAUGUUUCAGCUUUUCCUGUCACUGGAACAAUGGUUGUGCUCUUGUGAUUAGAGUGUUUCAGCAGAACAGCAAGCAAUGAUGCCUCUAUCUUACCAUGGUUUCCUACUAACAGGUGAGCAGUGUAGGAGAGACAUAUGGAGUGUCCUUAGAGGCAGGUUAUUCAUGCCUCUUCUUCAGACUGCUGGCACACUCCCUUCAGUAUGCCUCAUCUCACAAACCUAGGUAAGUAGGAAACCUAACCUGAUUCUAAAUGCAGAUAUUACAGAUGGCAUAUUUGUUUGGAAGAGUCUUUC
rnacentral:lncRNA from 1 species